rnacentral:rRNA from 1 species
GACGAACGCUGGCGGCGUGCUUAACACAUGCAAGUCGAACGGAAAGGCCCUGCUUGCAGGGUACUCGAGUGGCGAACGGGUGAGUACACGUGGGUGAUCUGCCCUGCACUUCGGGAUAAGCCUGGGAAACUGGGUCUAAUACCGGAUAGGAGCCAUUUUUAGUGUGAUGGUUGGAAAGUUUUUUCGGUGUAGGAUGAGCUCGCGGCCUAUCAGCUUGUUGGUGGGGUAAUGGCCUACCAAGGCGGCGACGGGUAGCCGGCCUGAGAGGGUGGACGGCCACAUUGGGACUGAGAUACGGCCCAGACUCCUACGGGAGGCAGCAGUGGGGAAUAUUGCACAAUGGGCGCAAGCCUGAUGCAGCGACGCCGCGUGGGGGAGGACGGCCUUCGGGUUGUAAACUCCUUUCGCUAGGGACGAAGCUUUUUGUGACGGUACCUAGAUAAGAAGCACCGGCUAACUACGUG